rnacentral:lncRNA from 1 species
CUAAAACUGCCUGAACGUGAGGGAGCUUUUUUCUCAACAACACCGCAUAUAAGCUGCUCAUAAGCAACGACGUGGCAAUGAAAACAAGUGGGGAAAGGUGGCAUUUGAAGCAUAAAGUUUCCAAAGUGUACAAACUGGAUUUUCUUUCUAGCGUCGUCUUCAGCGAGGGAGAGAUGAGUCAGCUAGCAAGGACUGCACACCUGCUAAUUAGCAGUGAACCAUUGGCUGGUAGAGCUGCUGCUGGCAUUCCUAGAGGGUACUGGAGCUUCUCCUGGGUAGCCGAGGAUGACCUGAGCUUUCCCAACGACUCCAUACCCAUGUCAGAUAACCAAUGCCCUGGCAAUAGCAGAGCAUGCGACCAGCACCUGCAGGGUAUCCCAGAGUUCACAUGGAGCAUAGUGGCUGCCGGGGACCUGCGAGAGGGAAGGAACGAGAAAAGCGAAAAGAAGGCAGGAAGCCCCCAGGGGUGGGAGGAAGGUCAGUUCCUCUGGGUGAACAGCUCAGCCUUUGGCGGCCCCUGGGUGCUGAGUCCUUGGCUGUGGGGGGGCCAGGGUCUCUGUGGCCUAGACAUGGCUGUGUUCCUCCACCCCAAGCAAAGUGGGCAGUACACCAUAUGGCUCAUAGAGCGGGACAAACCGCCACUUGCCCUCUUCUCAACUGACACACUGCCACGCAUCACAGGCUGGGCAGUGGUCCACCUCACCCUGGGGACCCACGGAGGAUCACCUUUUCGGGUCUCGGCCAGCUAUGAUCAGCGGAUUCCACAGGAUGACAUGGCCACCAUCGAGCCCCACUUCACCACUAACUGCACCAUGGGUAAGUUUUCACAUCCAUGUCAUUCGUUUCAGAAAUUAUGAUGCUGCUUUUUUGUGUGAGCACUAUUGAUGAUUU